rnacentral:rRNA from 1 species
AGUGAACGCUGGCGGUAGGCCUAACACAUGCAAGUCGAACGGCAGCACAGUAAGAGCUUGCUCUUACGGGUGGCGAGUGGCGGACGGGUGAGGAAUACAUCGGAAUCUACUUUUUCGUGGGGGAUAACGUAGGGAAACUUACGCUAAUACCGCAUACGACCUACGGGUGAAAGCAGGGGAUCUUCGGACCUUGCGCGAUUGAAUGAGCCGAUGUCGGAUUAGCUAGUUGGCGGGGUAAAGGCCCACCAAGGCGACGAUCCGUAGCUGGUCUGAGAGGAUGAUCAGCCGCACUGGAACUGAGACACGGCCCAGACUCCUACGAGAGGCAGCAGUGGGGAAUAUUGGACAAUGGGCGCAAGCCUGAUCCAGCCAUACCGCGUGGGUGAAGAAAGCCUUCGGGUUGUAAAGCCCUUUUGUUGGGAGAGAAAAGCAGCAGGUUAAUACCCCGCUGUUCUGACGGUACCCAAAGAAUAAGCACCGGCUAACUACGUG